rnacentral:lncRNA from 1 species
UAAAAACUGAAAUUUGAAUAAGGGACCAAAAGGAAAGUGUUGCCCUGAGGCUUCACUAUAAAAGGAGCAAUCUGAACAGUUGAGUGAGAGGAUUUUAUUAGAUUUGGACAUUUUCGAGCAGAACUCUUCCUUUUAAAAAGCUUAGUGGUGAAUUGGAAUACAAAAAUAUAUUAGUUUCAUAUACAUUAUUCAGAAUUCCUAAGUGCUAUUCCAUUCCGGUUGAAUUUUCUCAAAAGUCUUCCUAAAAUCUAGGUGUUUACUGUUCGAUUGGCUG